rnacentral:rRNA from 1 species
AUUGAACGCUGGCGGCAGGCCUAACACAUGCAAGUCGAGCGGAUGAAGGGAGCUUGCUCCUGGAUUCAGCGGCGGACGGGUGAGUAAUGCCUAGGAAUCUGCCUGGUAGUGGGGGAUAACGUCCGGAAACGGGCGCUAAUACCGCAUACGUCCUGAGGGAGAAAGUGGGGGAUCUUCGGACCUCACGCUAUCAGAUGAGCCUAGGUCGGAUUAGCUAGUUGGUGGGGUAAAGGCCUACCAAGGCGACGAUCCGUAACUGGUCUGAGAGGAUGAUCAGUCACAUUGGAACUGAGCCACGGUCCAGGCUCCUACGGGAGGCAGCAGUGGGGAAUAUUGGACAAUGGGCGAAAGCCUGAUCCAGCCAUGCCGCGUGUGUGAAGAAGGUCUUCGGAUUGUAAAGCACUUUAAGUUGGGAGGAAGGGCAGUUAGUUAAUACCUUGCUGUUUUGACGUUACCAACAGAAUAAGCACCGGCUAACUUCGUG